GUGAUGGUUAUUGAUGAUUUUGUUUGCAGUGAAACAUGCUAGUUUACAAGUCUAUUUACACCCUAUAUAACCCUAUAUAACCCUGUUAUUUUGCCCUAGAAUGAAACUCUUUUUAUGGUGGGCUUGUGGGAACAAUUACAAAUUCUAAUCAUAGCUUUUAUUAACUGCCAUCGCCUUAGAUAUACACAGUGGUGUUUUCUGUUUUCUUGAAUGCAGACCUCAACAUCAGUCAGUGUGUUUAGGAAUACCUGGACAGUGAGUGAGAAAAGGAAAACACUCUGAAGACAGACCUUAUCUUUUAGAGAUUUCUACAAAAAACACUAAAAGAGACUAAAAAUAAUGUAGUAAUAAUAAAGUUGUACUAAAUGUAAAAAGAAUUAUAUAAAAAAGAAAAGAAUUCUAUAAAAAUCUGAUAUAUAUAUAUAUAUUCUGAAUAAAUGCUACACACACAACUACACUAAAAAUCUGAUAUAUAUAUUCUGAAUAAAUGCUACACACACAACUACACUACACAUACUGUAACUCUAUCAACAUUAUGAUCGCUAAAAUCUUUUUCUUUAAAUUCUAGGUAAAAAAAGCAAAGAAAAUUUUCUCUCUCCCCAUUGUUUCUCUUUAUCUCACUCACGUGUUCUCUUCGUUGAUUAUUGCUGUUACUAUAGCUAGGUCUGGCUCCACCUUUACAGUUGAAGCCCCUCCUGCUGUAUAAGAAUGAAAGAGUCAUCAGACACAGAGAUAAGACUGUGGAGGGACGUUUGAUCUGAGGUUGCACAAUAAGAAGAUGAUGGACACCUGUUGGGCUUCCAUGCUCUGCCUGCUCUCUUUUAUUUCAGCUUCUAUGUUGGUAAAUGGUGGCUCUUUUCAGAGUCUUCAUAACUACCAUGAAAUAGAGCUCUCCUGGCCUUGUCCUCACACUCCUGCUCACACACACACCGCUCUGUCAGUUCACUCUCUGAGGCCUGCAGACAUCACUGUGCUUUCUGCUGUCGGCCUUCCACACACACCCAGGAGUGUAGAGUCUGAGGUCAUGAAGCAGCUGCAUGGUGAGCUUAUAAACAACGCCCUGUUAAAAUAAUGAAUUUGUUAUGAUGAGCCAUAUGUGUGUAUGUGUCUCUAUGAAUGUGUAUGUAUGCUGAUUAUUUCUUCUACAACAAGACAUGUAAAACCUGUCCACAUUGUGCCGGGGUGUCUGCAGGUUUUUAUUCUGAAAAAUAAGCAGCAUGUCUGAUUCUACUUAUUUAUUUAUCAGUUGGCCAGUCUUUAAUUGGCUAAUUGUGCUUCUGUUUGGCUGGAAUAAACCCUUGCAGCCCUAACA
rnacentral:lncRNA from 1 species